GGGAAACUUCGGCAGCCACUGACACAAGCGUUUGUGUGAAACCCAUCACAAAUUUAUUAGAGAAUGGCAGGGCUGGUUCAAAUUAAGUUACAGGUUGAUUUACCGAUGGGUGGCAAAGGGUAGUGCUGCACAUCAAAACCGGGUGAAAUCCUGGCCCCACGGAAGUUGGUAGGAAAACUUGCAUGGAAACCUCUCCCACCAAUUACAGUUGUAAACCGUGACAGAGAAGCACGCCACUAAUAAUGGUAAUUUAAAUAGCAGGCACAUGUUCACUAACACAUUCAUUAGAAGUAUGCUUUAGGUGAAUGCGCUUUGUUAACACUAAACAGAAGGUGGCUCUGAGAGCUCCAAAAGGGUUUGCUCCAAGGUGUGGAACUGCUCCUGAAUCAAAAAUGGGCUCUGGUACUUCAGCGAGCACAGUGAUGUACCUGCUUGCAGAUGUACACAUCACUCAUGAAAUUAACCUUUCAGAUAUACAAGGUAUCGCAGGUUAGAUUAAAUACUUGGAAAAAGGAGCCAAGAUGGUAUUCGUUCUAUUAAUUUAAUUAAUUUUCUACUCCUUCCAAGGAAAACCACUUUCUUUUUCAGCAGAUUUAGUUUAUCAGCCUAAUCUGGGGUACAUUUGCCUCAUAUGCUUCUCUACAGAAUUCUAUGUAUUUGAAGUUGGUUUGGAUGGAGUUCAUAAUGUCUUUGCUCUGAGCUGUUUAAUUUUUCUAAUUAAUAAACUUUAAUUAACCCAAAAAAA